UCCCAGCAGUCCAAGUCGCAGCCACAUUUGUUGGGUCUAAAACAUCCGUAGCUUGCCUCGUAAGUCUCUUGUCAAAUCGGGCCUCUUAAGGGUCCGGCGAGCAAGAGAUACUGCAAGGCUAGAGACCGGGAGACGUAAGGAGUACUAUAGGAGUAGCGGUAAAAUGCGUUGAUCCUUAUAGGACUAACAAUAGCGAAGGCACCUUACGAUAACGGUUCUGACAGUGAGGGAUGAAGGCUAGGGGCGCAAAGUG
rnacentral:rRNA from 1 species